rnacentral:rRNA from 1 species
AUGAACGCUAGCGGCAGGCUUAACAACUGCAAGUCGAGGGGUAUAUAGUCUUCGGAUUAUAGAGGACCGGCCAAACGGGGUGCGGAACACGUACACAACCCUCCUUUAAUCAGGGGAAUAGCCCCAGAGAAAUUUGGAUUAAUGCCCCAUAGUAUAAUUGAAUGGCAUCAAUUUGAUUAUUAAAGAAUUUCGGAUAGAGGUGGGUGUGCGUAAGAUUAGCUAGUUGGUAAGGUAACGGCUUACCAAGGCGACGAUCUUUAGCUGAUGUGAGAGCAUGAUCAGCCACACGGGCACUGAGACACGGCCCGACUCCUACGGGAGGCAGCAUGAGGAAUAUUGGUCAAUGGACGGAAGUCUAACCAGCCAGGCAGCGUGAGGAUGAAGCGUUCUGCGUUGUAAACUUCUUUAUUUAGAAGAAACACAGAUUUUCUAUAUUGGUGUGACAGGUAUCAGAUGAAUAAGCACGCUAACUCGCCGUGCAGCAGCGCGCGGUAAUACGGAGGGUGCAAGCGUUAUCCGAUUUACUGGGUUUAAAGGGUGUGUAGGCGGCGGACGUUUAAGUCAGGGGUGAAAUCUCCGAGCUCAACUCGGAACUGCCUUGAUACUUAUUAGUCUGAAUUAUGUUGAGGUUGGCGGAAUAUAACAUGUAGCGGGUGAAAUGCAUAGAUAUGUUGAUAGAACACGAUUGCGAAGGCAGCUGGCUAAACUAUAUAUUGACUGCUGAGGCACGAAAGCGUGGGUUAGCGAACAGGAUUAGUAUACCUGGCUAGUCCACGCCCUAACGAUGAUUACUCGUCAUUAGCGAAUAACACGUAUUGUAGACCAAGCGAAAGCGUUAGUAAUCCACCUGGGAAGUACGACGUCCAAGGUGAACUCAAAGUGGAAUUGACGGGGGUCCGCACAGCGGUGGAGCAUGUGGUUUAAUUCGAUGAUACGCGAGGAACCUUACCUGGGCUAGAAUGUUAGUUGACCGGUGGUGAAAGCCACUUUUCCGCAAGGCACAGAAACAAGGUGCUGCAUGGCUGUCGUCAGCUCGUGCAAGUGAGGUGUUGGGUUAAGUUCCCCGCAACGAGCGCAACCACCCCAUCUUCAGUUGCCAUCAUUAAGUUGGGAACUCUGGAGAAACUGCCGCCGUAAGGCGUGAGGAAGGAGGGGACGAUGUCAAGUCAUCAUGGCCUUUAUGCUCAGGCUGACACACGUGCUACAAUGGUAAGACAAGGGCAGCUACAUGGCGACAGGAUGCGAAUCUCAAAAACCCUUAUCUCAGUUCGGAUUGCAGGCUGCACACUCGCCUGCAUGAAGCUGGAAUCGGCUAGUAAUCGCGCAUCAGCAAUUGGCGCGGUUGAAUACGUUCCCGGACCUUGUACACACCGCCCGUCAAGGCCAUGAAAGUCGGGUGUACCUAAAGGCGGUAACGCCAAGGAGCCGCCUAGGGUAGAAAUCGAUAAUGGGGCU